CCCCACACCCCCGCCCCCUGCCCUUCCCGAGGGCAGCAGCCGCGGCCCGGAGAUAAGCGCUAGUGCGGCGCCGGGCUCUGCCUGGGCUAGUGGCACCGACUUGGGAAAAGGAAACGCCAAGACAUAGAAAACCACGCUUUUCCCGUAGGAAGAACCGAUGAUGAGCCCUGAUGAAAGAAGGAAGAAGACCCGCUGUCUGCGAAGGCCUAAAGGUUAGAAAUACAGCAAUUUUUCUCAUGCCGAAGGAAAGGCAAAAUGGUCUAAGAAACUGCAAGAGUGUGAUACAAGUUUUCCUCAACAGCGAGCUGGGACUGGCGACAAUUUCUUAACUCACAGCCUCCGCAGUCGCCUUAGUCGACAAAGAGAGCAGCCCACGCAGCGGCCGCCGCGCCCGUGCCCGUGGCCUUUACUUGCUUUUGCCCUGAAGUUCAGUGUAGUGGUUUGUUUGGGGCUUGCAGGAAGAAACAAACACACUCCCUCUGACUCUCCACAACCCAUCUUUGCCUUCUGCAACCGCUUCUCCUGCCCAUCGCUGGUUUUGGGGUAGGCUCUUUGUCUGCCUGAGGCCCCGCACUCGCAGGGCAAGAAGCUUAAAGGAAUCCAACUCCAAACUCCUCCGAAGUUAAAUAUUGACCAGAACCUCUUUCAACAGGCCGCGGUUGCCAGGAACCGUGGAGGGCCAACUCCUCCCAACCGCCCUGGUGCAAAGUCCCACGCGGCGAAGAGUUUUGGAGCAGCGCUUACCUAGAAAGAUGUUUAAAUUCUGAACCAGGAAUUGUCUCCAACUCCAGGCGCUCAGGGAAUCGCCUUUUCCGGUGUCCAGGCGCUCUGCAGACAAAUAAACAGCAGAAGGUGAAUGGCGGCUGCGAGGGAAGGGAGUUGGAGGCCGGGAGUGGGAAGCGAGGCUCAUGCGGGCGCCAAGGUGGCCCUGGGGGUGACGCGAACAUCAGGGAGUCACCAGGGCACUCGUCCGUGUGGCGCACUCAUUGCUCGAAAUGUUCCAGUCUACAAAUGGUCCGAAGAUGGUGAUUUAUUUUUGUAAAAUAAAUACAUACUCCAUCUCCACACCCAUACUUUCUCCUUUUUCUUUCUUUUUUUUGGCGGGGGAGUGGGGAAGGAAAGGACAUGAAGCAAACAGAGGAAGCUGAGAAGGUGGAAGUGGCUUUGCUGGUGGUGUGGGCUGCUUUCAGAGAGCUCUCUCCUCAGGCACCACAACUUGGAGAAUGUGAAUGCUUGCUUUAUUUUCCUUUCCUAACAAAAGGAAGCCUUGUCUGGGAGCAUUCAAUCACGGACUCUCCUGAAACCUCACUAAUAUGUGUUCAUUUCUGUAGGCGCGAAAUCAGACCCGGGUUCAUUCCACUGGCCAGAGGCAGUCUUGGGAGGAUUUGUGUUCUGGUUUAUUCAACUCUGGCAAAUGGUCACCGAGCCGGCAGUCAGCUUUCUGGGAGUGGGAGAUGAUGGGGAAAGAGGAAAGAAUCGUCCGCUCGCCGGACCCUGGCUUGGAGAAGUUCUGCGCUCCGCUGGGACUCUGCGGGCCCUUUGCGUCUACAGACCUAUCCCUGCCCCGACUACCCCUUCACUCAGACCCAGGGAGUGCCCCCUGGUCUUGGGGCUCCUGGCAUGACCAUGAGCAAGGUGGACUCAGCCAUCCUGCACUUUGCCUCUCAAUUUCAUUCCAGAAAGAUCCGCUAUGCCGCCACCCACCACUCCCCUGCGUGACACUUAGGAGUAUGUAAUUAUUAUGGUUAUUAUUUUUGCUGUUUCCUUAUCUCCAAGUCUAAUAUUCAUGGCUGCUGUACCCCAUAAAUCGUUCAGACUAAUGAGUCACAGAGAGAUGCUGCCCAGGUCUCUCACUUUACAAUGGCUGCCGCCGCCGCCGUGGCCUCUCUCUCCGCGUUUUUGGCGCUCGCUUGCUCCCUCGCUCGCCCGGCGCGGGUGAUUUAUGAACGCCGGGAAAAUUGAACAAAGCCGCGCGCCCGUCCUGUGGUAUCUCUGCAGCCUUCCCCAGCGUGAAUCAGAACAUUACCAACUGUCUGCGCAUCCGUCCCACUUCAUCACCAAAGCCAGGAUGUGACCGCAGAAAACCCAAGCCCGAACUCACGUUUCCCCGGACGCGGCGCGCUCCCUGGACUCGCAGAAACCCUGCGGAAAAGGCCCCAAGAUCUGGUGAGGGCCUGCCAGCUCCGUCCUCCCUGCCGAGGGCUCUCUCCUGCCUUCCUGAAGGAGUUAAAAGCCUUUGGAGAUAAAUCUGAGGGUGUGUGUUUUUAAAAAUCAAAUGGGAAGGACACGUUUCUAUGCCUUACAGAGACUUGAAGCCUGAAAGCCUGGCCAAGUUUGGGAAGAAGAGGAGCCCUCUCAGAGCUCAAGAGCCUUCCUACUCUUUGGAACUUUUCCACAGUAGGCCAAGCUUGACAAGAGUUCAGCUCAAGUUGAACAUACAUACACACACUCUCACACACAAAUUAUGUGAGCCGUCAGAAUCCAAGUGAAUCCAGCUCAAGCUAUCUACAAGGUUUUUACAUGCAAGGUCAAGUAUCUCAAUCCAGAGGACUUUUGUUUUCUUAAUGAAAAGCUUAGAAAACACAUGAAUCUUAGAUUUUUAAUGUUUUUUAAAUGGAGUUUAUUCUUAGCACAUGGCUUUCUAUGUAGCCACAUCAC
rnacentral:lncRNA from 10 species